GAAAGCCGUAUGCAGGGAGACUUGCAAGUACGGUUUGGGGGCAGGCUGGAGGAAACCUACCGCCGAAAGGCGGCAAGGCGCUUCCUGCCGAGCCUAC
rnacentral:ncRNA from 2 species